rnacentral:rRNA from 1 species
GGACGACGCUGGCGGCGUGCCUAACACAUGCAAGUCGAGCGGGGACAUACGACGGACAGGAAGUUUUCGGAUGGAAUGGAAGAUGUAUGUUCUAGCGGCGGACGGGUGAGUAACGCGUGAGCAACCUGUCCCUUACAGGGGGAUAACACAGCGAAAGCUGUACUAAUACCGCAUAAGACCACAGAGAGACAUCUCACAGGGGUCAAAGGAGCAAUCCGGUGAAGGGUGAGCUCGCGUCCGAUUAGAUAGUUGGUGAGGUAACGGCCCACCAAGUCAACGAUCGGUAGCCGACCUGAGAGGGUGAUCGGCCACAUUGGGACUGAGACACGGCCCAGACUCCUACGGGAGGCAGCAGUGGGGAAUAUUGGGCAAUGGGGGCAACCCUGACCCAGCCAUGCCGCGUGAGGGAAUGAGGCCCUACGGGUCGUGAACCUCUUUUAUUCGGGGACAAGGACGCGCACGAGAUGCGCGUUUGAGGGUACCGAAGGAAUAAGCGUCGGCUAACUCCGUGCC